UACAGAGGUCCCAAGCGUUGUUCGGAUUUACUGGGUUUAAAGGGUGCGUAGGUGGGCAGUUAAGUCAGUGGUGAAAUCUCCGAGCUUAACUCGGAAACUGCCAUUGAUACUAUCUGUCUUGAAUAUCCUGGAGGUGAGCGGAAUAUGUCAUGUAGCGGUGAAAUGCUUAGAUAUGACAUAGAACACCAAUUGCGAAGGCAGCUCACUACGGGAUUAUUGACACUGAGGCACGAAAGCGUGGGGAUCAAACAGG
rnacentral:rRNA from 1 species